rnacentral:tRNA from 1 species
GCACUGGUGGUUCAGUGGUAGAACUCUUGCCUUCCGUACGGGAGACCUGGGUUUAAUUCCUGGCCAAUGGA